CUAAAAUUUUGUUUCAACAACUUAUGAGUAAUUUUUAAAUUUCAGGGAAAACAACUGAUGUGAUGCUUUUGCAGACAGUUAAAUUGAACUUUAAUUGGAAUUGCGCCAAUACAAAUGAGAUAAAAAGGAUAACCAACUUUUCUCCCUCGACGACACCGAGCAAAGGAAACAGAUAAUCUCUGAAAAAUGCAGAUUCUAACAAAUGAGGAAGCGCAAGAUUUAAGGGCAAGCUAUUCGAUAUGAUACCGAACAUACUGAACCUGGAAAUGCUAUGGCAGGAGAAUUCUGUUCUAACUUCACCCAUCAGCUUUAUUUCUCACUGUAGUGCUUGGAAGUUCUGUUGAUGGGAGUGCAACAACUACACAUUGGUUGAAAGGGCUUAGUAAUAGUAAUUAAUCAUGUUCAUAACAAUGCAAAGAUGAAAUAACUUCAUUGAGUAGCCUAACUGCAUUGCCUUCACUACUA